rnacentral:rRNA from 1 species
GACGAACGCUGGCGGCGUGCUUAACACAUGCAAGUCGAACGGGCCCGCUCUCUUUUUUGGGGGUGGGUUGAGUGGCGAACGGGUGAGUAUCCCGUGAGUAACCUGCCCCCUGCUCCUGGAUAACUGCUUGAAAGGGCGGCUAAUACGGGGUGUGCCGGCUGGUCCGCAUGGGCCUGGUCGGGAUAGUUUCAUCUUCAGGUGUUUCGGUGGGGGAUGGGCUCGCGGCCUAUCAGCUUGUUGGUGGGGUGAUGGCCCACCAAGGCGGUGACGGGUAGCCGGCCUGAGAGGGUGGGCGGCCACACUGGGACUGAGACACGGCCCAGACUCCUGCGGGAGGCAGCAGUGGGGGGUAUUGCACAAUGGGCGGAAGCCUGAUGCAGCGACGGCGCGUGAGGGAUGGAGGCCUUCGGGUUGUGAACCUCUUUCUCCGGUGGUGAAGGCCCUGUCCGUUGCGGCGGGGUUGACGGUAGCCGGGUAUGAAGCGCCGGCUAACUACGUG